rnacentral:lncRNA from 1 species
AUCAGGGAAAGGCAAUAACCAUGGUGCUCAGUCUGGUCCAUUACUUCUGAAACAAAAGCAAGACCUACAGUUGCCCUGUUGCCAUGGCAGUCACUAAAGGGAUAAGAAGGUAACUCGCACAGGGAGGAUGAUACCCCUGCCAGCUCCAGUGCCUGGAGAGGAUGAAGAGGAGGCUGUCUAAAGAUAAUCUCUUUCAUCCGUUCUCAAUUUAAAAGGCAGUCUUCUGUCUUCUUGGAACACCUGAGACAAGAGAAUGAUGAAUGGCAGCCUGGAGAUCAGCCUGGAGCCACACCUUGCCCUUUGAGUAGCCUCUCCCAUGACAAUCAACACUUUUCUAGAGCCUGGAGGCUGCUGUCGCAGGAUCUGGAUCUCCUUGCACCAUCCUCUCUGUCUUCUUCUGAGAAUAUCAUUGAGCCAACCUACCUUCCUCCGGUGGGAAGAUAUACUUCUGCACAGCCCUUCCUGGGAGAUAUUUACCACCUGGAUUCCAUGUGAACUGAUUCCACCAGGAAUUUGUGCAGUGUCUAUAAAGCAGGUUCCAGCUCAUGAAGGACAAAGGCUGGCAGCAAGGACUAAGCUGAGAUUAUCAUGCCCUUGGGACUGACUUGAGUUCAAAAUGCUGUGUGACCUAAGCCAAGAAGUAGCAGAAGUCACAUUAGGAUCCUUUGUCACAUUCUGAAGGUGGAUCUCCACACCUCAUCAGACCAGCACACCUGCUUUAGUCUAGGCCUCUUCUAGAAGCCAGCAUGACAUUCCAGUGCACGCCACAUCACUGUACAAUACAUGUCUUGUGCACAGGUGUGCUGCUCUGUCCCUGUCCCCCAGCAAGGUAGCUGGAGGUGUCAACCCAAAUAGAUCCUGAAAUCUGUUCAGCACUCUCAUUCCAAUCAUGAAGGUAGCUCACCUUGACUGUAACAUUCAUCUCAUGUCAGACAUUGAUCUAUGCUUUUCAUUAGCAGAUUUAAUCCUCUCAGCAAUACAAUGAGGAAACUGAAACAUGAAGAGACCAAGUGGCUGUCCAAGUCCACAAGCUAGAAAAGGGAAGACAGCCUCCUAGCAGGGCCAAUGCUCUUAGCCACAUAUCUUAUGUACAUGGGGGCCAUGCCUAGUUUUAAAAAGACAGUUGUGUCUAUGUGUCUGCAGCUACAUCUUUAUACUGUGGGGAAAACGUGGGGCCUAGACUGAAGAAUGUGUGGGUCAGAAAGUGGCUCUCCCACCACCAAGGUUGUUGGUCAUCUCUGAACACUCAAAAUCAGGCCAAUGUUCUCUCUGUCCAUCUGCUGUGACUGGAAAGGGGUGUUCAGUGCAAUGAAUACAUUGGCUGUCUGCCUCUUUGCAGUGAUCAGACUGACAAGACCCAUCUUUGACCCUGUUGAGUUUGGGUCCAAUGAGUAUGGAGAGUAUAAGAGAGUGAGUUAAAUGGUUGUGUAGUGAGCAUCUGGCACUGCUAGGAGAUGCUCUAGAAAUCACUGAUCUCUAUUCAUUUACAUAUUUUACAUAAAAGUCCAGAAGAUGCAUUCUUGUAUCCUGUUACAGUUUGAAUGUGAAGUCUCCCCUCCCCAGCUCAUAUUUUGAAGUUUUGGGCUUUUUCCCCCCCACCACCAAGAUGACAGUGUUAUUCUGGAGGGUCGUACAAUGACUAUGAGGUGUCUGAAGUAGGCCCCUGGUGGCAGCCCUUUCAAGGUCUUGUUUGGCCCCUGCUCUGGGCCCAUUCUCCUCGCUCUCUUGUUCACCGUGCUGAGACAUCUCCUCCACACUUUUCCACUCCCAUGCCUUCCUCACCACCACUGGCUGAAAUCCCUUUUGAUAUUCUGAGCCAAAAUAAACUUCUC